rnacentral:lncRNA from 10 species
GGCGGGGGCUCCGCGAGGCUCCCCUGGGACCGGGUCCGGCCGUGGGACUUCGGGACACUGCCUUUGCCUGGACGCUGUCGUUCCACCCUCAGCAACCUCAGGGAAAGAAGGAAAACAAAUAUUGAUGUAAAUUUCCGUCUGAACAGCUGGGUAAUGAGCGCUUGCUCUUCCCUGCGAGGUUACGCGCGGAUCAUUACCUUGCGUGUUAAAAGGAGUUUCAGUGAGAAGAAAAUGCGCAGAUCUCAUGACACAGUUUGGGAGGGAAAUUCCCUGAUCCUAAAACACGAAUAGGAGCUCCAGGCAUGGAAAUACUUAAUUGGAUCGGAAAGCUGGGCAGGCUGGAGCUAUUAAGCUGAAGGAGGUUUUCCCCUGGGCUCCUCAGGCUUCGAUUUACGUUUUAAAUAAAUAAGUCCGAAAAUAAUGAAGAUAAUAACCACGUUUACUUUCUACAAGGGCGUUCUGAAGGAAUCUAAGGGAAGAGGAGUAUUUGCUGGACUACAGCUUUAAGCCAGGCUCGGUAUUAGCUCUUUUCAUUCUGACAGCAACCCUGUAGGAUUGGAGGGGGUUAUUCCAGUUGGGCAGGUGUGGAGAAUGGGCCUCAAAGAGGUUAAGUAACUUAUUAAGGUCUCAGCUAGUAAAAGGAUGGAGUUGAGAUUCCAACCCGGGCUGCCAGACCCUAAUUCUGGUGCUUUAUUUAGUAUAUUUUGUGUUUGCCGGGAGAGCAAUAUUGUAUGUGUUUUAGGGAAGACUCCAUAGUAGGGAACAUUAUUAGGGCAGUUAGGGCUUUGUGGGUAUUUGUGUUAAAAUCAAACUAAAGAGGCGUUAAUCUUUGCAUAUGUGCUGUUUGAGUAUAUUUCCUUUCAAACAGAUUUAGUGUAGGGAAAUCUUACAUUCACUAUAAGAGCAAAUUUAUUAGUACAUUCCAUGUGUAUUGCAUGUCUUUUAUUUUUAAAGAGACAGCGUCUCGGGCUAGAGUGCAGUGGUGCGAUCAAAGUUCACUGCAGCCUUGAACGUCUGGACUCUAGGGACCCUGCUGAAUAGCUGGGGCUACAGGCGUGUGUCACUGCGCCCAGCUGGAAUGAAACCUCUGAAGAAUCGAGAUAGCUCCAAUAGAGGUCCACAGGCAGAAAGGAUUUCAAGGAUCUUCAAAGGGUAAAUGUACCCUGGAAGAGGGAUACUGGACCUGUGAUAGGUACAAUGAUUUAGAUCAUUCAAUGUUAUUUUUUGAAGUAAUUUAUUAAGGUAAAAUUUAUUUCCAAGGUAAAACUCCUUACCUUGUAAGCAGUUUCUCCUCAUUCUUUACUCUCCCUGGCCUCUGACAAUCACC